GAUGAACGCUGGCGGCGUGCUUAACACAUGCAAGUCGAACGGUGAACGAGGGAGCUUGCUCCCUCCGGAUCAGUGGCGAACGGGUGAGUAACACGUGAGCAAUCUGCCCUGGACUCUGGGAUAAGCGUUGGAAACGACGUCUAAUACCGGAUACGAGGCGUGGGGUCAUCCCCAACGCCUGGAAAGAACUUCGGUCCAGGAUGGGCUCGCGGCCUAUCAGCUAGUUGGUGAGGUAACGGCUCACCAAGGCGACGACGGGUAGCCGGCCUGAGAGGGUGACCGGCCACACUGGGACUGAGACACGGCCCAGACUCCUACGGGAGGCAGCAGUGGGGAAUAUUGCACAAUGGGCGCAAGCCUGAUGCAGCAACGCCGCGUGAGGGACGACGGCCUUCGGGUUGUAAACCUCUUUUAGCAGGGAAGAAGCGAGAGUGACGGUACCUGCAGAAAAAGCACCGGCUAACUACGUGCCAGCCGCCGCGGUAACAC
rnacentral:rRNA from 1 species